GGAAAUGGUCUCUGUGAUAUAAGACAAAAAUAGAAGUAUAGAGAACAGCUUGGUUCAGAGUCUCUAAAAUAAGAAAAAAAAUUGCUAUUUUUUUUUUUUUUUUUUAGCUAAAUGACUUAGCCUGGGUCUACCAAACAAGUAGAACAUGAACCAAGAGGUUGCAUGAAGGUAAUCUAUAUGGGGAGGUGAUAAGAGGAAUAAGACUGAAGUGCUAAGAAUGGGGAAAGGGUAAGAAUCAGUAUAAGGUGGUAUUGUUCAAAGUUGUUGUCUGAGUUGUUCUCUACCAUGGACAACUGGAGUCCAGUCACACUGGAGACCUUUCCAGGAGCCAAGCAGAAGAUGCCCAUGAGUUGCCACUCCAAAAGGAUAGGAGUGUCACCAGGUCCUGUGUCUGGCACAUUGCUGACCUUGGGAUAUUUGCUCUCUCUCUUUUCCAGGUCUACUCAAUGGUCAGAACAGCUGAGGUGCUGAGCAUCUGUUGGAAAAAGCUGUGCCAAGAGACUAAAACCAUUCAUCACACUAUCCAAACCAGAAAUCCUGGAAUGAUUUGGCUCACCUAUGCUGUUUCAAUGCUUCUCUCUACAGUGGCAUAUUCAAAUGAUCUCAACAGAUUCACAGGACUUUCCAUUAGUGUCCACCUCAGCCAUGUGGAUGAUCCAUCAAUUCUAUUUUCUAAUGAUGUACAUGCAAUGACAUUCAUUUCUAUGGUAAGUGUCUCUAAGUGUAGAAUUUCUUCUGUCUAGUUCAGUACCCUCACCUCAUGUUACCAAAAAGUUUAAAUUUGAAGUGUUUUGACUGACAAAUGAAAAUUGAGUUCAGUACAGCCUUCUCUCUAAAGAAAAUUAGUCAUAUAUUUCUUCUUGGCCAGGUAAUUUAAAAACCUGGAAUCAUCAUCAUCAUCAAAAAGGGUAACAAUGGUAUAACCAAAAUGUAUACAAAAUUACAUAAUUACAUUCAGUCAUAUUUUAUAUCGGACCUCAAGGCAAUUAGAAUCAUAUCUAUUAAUUUCUUGAUAAAGAUCUGCUUAAUCAGUGUAUUCAUUUGUGCAUUCUGGGAUAUAAUAGACUCAAAAUCAGUUACUAUAAUCUCAAACCACAUCAUGUACUUCCUCUCAAAGACACAGUCACAUUUCCUAUCUCUACCAGUAGAUGAAAAUUCAUUCAUAUCUCAAUGUAAAUGAACUGGUUAUUCAUGUUAAUUAGAAGCAUGAACAAAAUAGGAGUCCACCUUUUCAAAUAAAAAAAUCUUUUUGAAAAUGAUAAUUUUCA
rnacentral:lncRNA from 1 species